ensembl:misc_RNA Y_RNA Y RNA
GGCUGGUCUGAAGGCAGUGAGUUAUCUCACUUGAUUGUUCAUGGUCAGUCACAGAUUGAACUUCUUGUUCUACUCUCUCCCCCCUUCUCUCUCACUACUGCACUUGACUAGUCUUAA